ensembl:lncRNA
CGAGCUUGGUCUGUUUGAACAUGUUUACAUGGGGGUGAUCCCACAGUGGUAGGGGUGGAGGACACACACAGAGGCAGGCGCAGAGAGGGAGAGGCAGGCGCAGAGAGGGAGAGGCAGGCGCAGAGAGGGAGAGGCAGGCGCAGAGAGGGAGAGGCAGGCGCAGAGAGGGAGAGGCAGGCGCGCAGAGAGGGAGAAGGGCAGGCGCGCAGAGAGGGAGAAGGGCAGGCGCGCAGAGAGGGAGAAGGGCAGGCGCAGAGAGGGAGAAGGGCAGGCGCGCA